UUAAUUUAUAUUUAUUAAUUAAUUAUGUUUUUAUUUAAAUUAUUAAAAAUAAUUAUAUAGAAAAGAGUUUUAGUAUUGUUUAAAGAAAAAAUAAUAUUAAUUAUAGUUUAAUAGUAUUGUAAAAGAAAAUUGAAAUAAUUUGAAAAAUUUUUAUUAUAAAAGAAAAUUUAAUUUAUUGUACCUUGUGUAUCAGUGUUUAUUAAAUAAAAAAUAUUUAUUUAUAUUUUUCUCGAUUUUAAAAGAGUUAAUAUUAUAUUAAAGUUAAUGUGAUAAAAUUAUUUUAAAUAUAAUAUUAGAAAUGAAAUGUUAUUCGUUUUUAAAGGUAUCUAGUUUUUCAAGAAAUAAAUUUAAUUUAUAAAUUAUAAAUAUAUUUUUAUUUUUUAUUUAUAAAAAUAUUUUAUAAUUUAAAUAUUUUGCGGGAUAAGCUGUAAAAUAAAAAGUUAAAAAUAAUAAAUAAAUUUAAUAAAUAUAUGCUUAUAAAUAGCAAAUAUUAAAAAGUUUGUUAUAAUUUAUUUUAUUCUAUAUAUUAUUUAUUAUAUUUUAAUUAUUUAUUGAAAUAUAAAUUUUAAUUUUAAAAAUUUAGUAAUAAUGAUAAAAUUAGUAUAAUUUAAUGUUUAUAAAAAUUUAAUUGAAAAGUUUUAUUAAAG
rnacentral:rRNA from 1 species